rnacentral:lncRNA from 15 species
AGACAGAUCAAAGUUUAAUUUUAUCCUUUAUCCAGCACUGAGAAAUUUUAUUAGUUCAUUUUGGAAGAUAAAGAUAUGUGAUUCUGUCUUCUUUUUUUCAUACAAAAAAUCAUCAGACAACCUGAUUAACUCCAUCCCUCUCUUUUCUGUCUGUGUACACAUACUGAUAAGUUCACUUCAAGUAAGAAUAACAGCCUGAAAACUUCUAUAAAGGCCAGGUAUUCUGCAACAAAGAGCUAUGUGUCUGCGUUUGAGUCUGGAGCCUCAGCGUGACAGACCGAACGGCUGUCUGGGGAUGGACUGCUGUAAAGAGCAGUGCACUUCAGGUCAUUUUUAGAGCUAGAGAGGAGUGUUGGGAAGAGCAGAGAUGUUUUUGAUAUGUAACAGUGGAGCCAUACACACCGAUCAAUACGCCGACCUUUCUCAGACUGAUUGCAUGAUGUUCUGCUUUGCCCCCAGCACCAGCACCCACCAGAGGUCCAUCAACCAUCAAGCAUUGUUAUUCUCUGUUUCAGCAAGCGAGAAGCCGUGGGUCGCCUUCCAUGGAGUCCGCCAUGUUUCUACAGUAGCCCAGAAAGGACAAACCAAACACUGUGUCUUUUGCACGUUUCACAGCCACGGUAGUUUCUCCUUCACACUUAGAAGGAGAGGUUAAAGAGAGGGAGCUGUGAUCUGCAACUACACCGCUAGAUGCUACUAAAUCCUAAACACUGAGCCUUUACUGACAUUCCACCUCCAUCUGUUGCCAAUAAGGACUUAUUGGUAGAAAUCUUUCAUAGAUCUCAAUUAAUUGCCAGCAAAUUUCCUUUUGUAUCCUAUGUCUCCAUGAACUGAUGCUGGUUUCAAGAGUAUGGUCUUGUUUUUUGUUGACCACAACCUACAGGUGAUAAAACUGAUGGAGAGGCUGACACUGCAGAGUUCUGUAUAUGAACACAAACGCAUACCAAACACUAUCCCACUAACAUGUCCCUCUUCAAGGAAUCUCCUCCCAUUGAGGGCAGGGGUUUUGCCACAUGAACUCAUUGCAAUAGGCUGUGUUAAAGAAGAGGAAGUUUGAAAGGUUGACCCUGCACACUCUCAGCUCU